rnacentral:rRNA from 1 species
UAAAGCUGCAGGCGGGCUGGACCUCUCGGGGUUACAGCCUUGCUGAAUUAUUCACCCUUGUCUUUUGCGUACUUCUUGUUUCCUUGGUGGGUUCGCCCACCACUAGGACAAACAUAAACCUUUUGUAAUUGCAAUCAGCGUCAGUAACAAAUUAAUAAUUACAACUUUCAACAACGGAUCUCUUGGUUCUGGCAUCGAUGAAGAACGCAGCGAAAUGCGAUAAGUAGUGUGAAUUGCAGAAUUCAGUGAAUCAUCGAAUCUUUGAACGCACAUUGCGCCCUUUGGUAUUCCAAAGGGCAUGCCUGUUCGAGCGUCAUUUGUACCCUCAAGCUUUGCUUGGUGUUGGGCGUCUUGUCUCUAGCUUUGCUGGAGACUCGCCUUAAAGUAAUUGGCAGCCGGCCUACUGGUUUCGGAGCGCAGCACAAGUCGCACUCUCUAUCAGCAAAGGUCUAGCAUCCAUUAAGCCUUUUUUUCAACUUUUGACCUCGGAUCAGGUAGGGAUACCCGCUGAACUUAAGCAUAUCAUAG